rnacentral:piRNA from 1 species
UAGAAAAUUCACAGGGUUUGGCCUGUAAAU